UGGGGAAUAUUGCACAAUGGGCGAAAGCCUGAUGCAGCGACGCCGCGUGAGGGAUGACGGCCUUCGGGUUGUAAACCUCUUUCGACAGGGACGAAGCGCAAGUGACGGUACCUGUAGAAGAAGCACCGGCCAACUACGUGCCAGCAGCCGCGGUAAUACGUAGGGUGCGAGCGUUGUCCGGAAUUACUGGGCGUAAAGAGCUUGUAGGCGGUUUGUCGCGUCGUCUGUGAAAACUCACAGCUCAACUGUGAGCUUGCAGGCGAUACGGGCAGACUUGAGUACUGCAGGGGAGACUGGAAUUCCUGGUGUAGCGGUGAAAUGCGCAGAUAUCAGGAGGAACACCGGUGGCGAAGGCGGGUCUCUGGGCAGUAACUGACGCUGAGAAGCGAAAGCGUGGGUAGCGAACAGGAUUAGAUACCCUGGUAGUCCACGCCGUANCGGUGGGUACUAGGUGUGGGUUUCCUUCCACGGGAUCCGUGCCGUAGCNACGCAUUAANUACCCCGCCUGGGGAGUACGGCCGCAAGGCU
rnacentral:rRNA from 1 species